ensembl:snoRNA SNORA74 Small nucleolar RNA SNORA74
CCCAGCUCUAAGUCAGCUGGCCAGACGUUGCAUGUCUGGCUCAGUGUUACAGUGCUGGCAGAUGAAGUCUCUGUACCUGGUCUCGGCUGUGCGGGCUCUGUUUUAGAGUCUGCUGCUCCUGAGCUGCUGCAGAGCGCGGCCCAACGAGAGUGGCCUGUCCUGAGCCAACAGCAGGGCAGGCCUAGUGCAGGGCUGCACACU